CUUAAUUUAUUAGAUAACAACAGGCUAGUAGCUCUCAUUAAGUUAUAACUAUUUCUUUACUAGAAUCUAGUUUAGAUACCCUAAAAUCUUGGCUCCUUCUUGUUUGCAGCAAGAGCGUGUCGUUCAAGAAAAGAGAGAAGUAUCAUAAUACUUCAAAAUACAGAAGAAGUAUCAAGAAGAAAUCGUAAAGAAUUAUGAAAGCAGUAUUAUGAUUAAUCCUUGAACAACUGUUUUUUAUUAAGAGAAUAAAAGUUUAAUCCCUUCAAAUGAUUAUACUUAUUUUUGUGCAGAAUUAUGUGUAUUUUUUCAUAAAUUUAAGCUCAGGUUUGUUUUUGCACAGAAUUAUGUAUACUUCUUCAUAAGUAGGUUUGACUUCAGUCUGCUUUGCAUUGAAAGGAAAAGUGUUUUGGGAUAAGCGUGGGAGAACUUGAAUGUUCCAGAACAAUGAAGUAU
rnacentral:lncRNA from 1 species